CGACCAGGCCGGACAGCCGCGGAGGGAUGCCGAAAGGCGCUGCUCUGAGGAAAGUCCGGGCUCCACAGGGUAAGGAUAACGGGUAACGCCCGCCGGGGGUGACCCCAGGACAAGUGCAACAGAGAGAUACCGCCGCCGCCCGGUCCCGGGCAGCGGUAAGGGUGAAAAGGUGCGGUAAGAGCGCACCCAGCCCAUGGAGACAUGGGUUUUAUGAUGUAAACUCUAUCCGGAGCAACACCGUGUGUGGGACAAUCGGCUGACCCGGCCGUCCCCAAGAGGUGGCUGGACCCCGUGAGCAAUUGCGGGGCUAGAUAGAUGGCUGUCAAGACAGAACCCGGCUUAUAGGCCUGAUCGCACC
rnacentral:RNase_P_RNA from 1 species